rnacentral:rRNA from 1 species
UACGUAGGGUGCAAGCGUUAAUCGGAAUUACUGGGCGUAAAGCGUGCGCAGGCGGUUUUGUAAGACUGUCGUGAAAUCCCCGGGCUUAACCUGGGAACUGCGUUUGAAACUACAAGGCUAGAGUGUGGCAGAGGGGGGUGGAAUUCCACGUGUAGCAGUGAAAUGCGUAGAGAUGUGGAGGAACACCGAUGGCGAAGGCAGCCCCCUGGGUUAACACUGACGCUCAGGCACGAAAGCGUGGGGAGCAAACAGG